rnacentral:rRNA from 1 species
AGCUUGCUGGGAACUUCGAAAGCGACCCUAGUAAAGUGGCGAACGGGAGCGUAACACGUGAGGAACCUGCCCUCGAGUGGGGAAUAACCUCGAGAAAUCGUGGCUAAUUCCGCAUGACGCAACCAUCCCACAUGGGACAGUUGUUAAAGGUGGCCUCUGCUUGCAAGCCAUCGCUUGGGGAGGGUCUCGCGGCCUAUCAGCUUGUUGGUGAGGUAACGGCUCACCAAGGCUACGACGGGUAGCCGGCCUGAGAGGGUGCUCGGCCUCAUUGGGACUGAGACACGGCCCAGACUCCUACGGGAGGCAGCAGUGAGGAAUCUUGCGCAAUGGGCGAAAGCCUGACGCAGCGACGCCGCGUGAGGGAUGAAGGCCUUCGGGUUGUAAACCUCUGUCAGGAGGGAAGAAACCGGUGACAGCUAAUAGCGGUCACCGCUGACGGUACCUCCAGAGGAAGCACCGGCUAACUCCGUG